GGUCCAAUGGUCUAGUUGGUUAGGACGUCGGAUUCUGACGAAUGUUGAGAGUUCCGUAAGCCCAGGUUCGAAUCCUGGUUGGACCU
rnacentral:tRNA from 1 species